rnacentral:rRNA from 1 species
CGGUGGUCCCACCUGACCCCAUGCCGAACUCAGAAGUGAAACGCCGUAGCGCCGAUGGUAGUGUGGGGUCUCCCCAUGUGAGAGUAGGG